CCGCUGGCGCCACUCCUUCGAUCUCGCUUCUUCUUCUUCACUUCUCUGCAACACACAAAGACAAGCAGCAAGUAAAAGAGAAACAAGGGAAAGUCAGAGGAAAGAGAAACAAGGAGAGUUAGAGAAGGGGAAAAGGUGUCCUCGGGACACUUUGGCUCAGAUUUUCCCACAGUAGGCAGGGCCCUUCCAGCAGCUCAAUGAUCACGGUUCAAAGGGAACAGGAGAUACAGAUCAGCACCCCAAUCUCGAUUGCACAGCCACCAGCAGCAGGAAUCCGAUGG
rnacentral:lncRNA from 1 species